rnacentral:rRNA from 1 species
UACAGAGGUGGCAAGCGUUGUUCGGAAUUACUGGGCGUAAAGGGCGCGUAGGCGGCCUUCUAAGUCAGACGUGAAAUCCCCCGGCUUAACCUGGGAACUGCGUCUGAUACUGGGAGGCUUGAGUAUGGGAGAGGGAUGUAGAAUUCCAGGUGUAGCGGUGAAAUGCGUAGAGAUCCGGAGGAACACCGACGGCGUAGGCAGCGCCCUGGCUGUGAAUAAAGCUGACACUGAGGCACGAAAGCUGGGGGAGCAAACAGG